rnacentral:rRNA from 1 species
ACGCUCGACACCUACGGGCAGCAGUAGGGAAUCUUCCACAAUGGACGCAAGUCUGAUGGAGCAACGCCGCGUGAGUGAAGAAGGUCUUCGGAUCGUAAAACUCUGUUGUUAGAGAAGAACACGAGUGAGAGUAACUGUUCAUUCGAUGACGGUAUCUAACCAGCAAGUCACGGCUAACUACGUGCCAGCAGCCGCGGUAAUCUGAGCGGGCUGGCAAGGC